UUGCGGCUCGGAAUCUUCCGGAGCCACGUCUGUCUGAGGGUCGUUGU
rnacentral:rRNA from 1 species